rnacentral:rRNA from 1 species
AGCCCGUGACUGAAGCCCCGGUAAACGGUGGCCGUAACAAUAGCGGUCCUAAGGUAGCGAAAUUCCUUGUCGGGUAAGUUCCGACCUGCACGAAUGGCGUAACGAUGGCCACACUGUCUCCUCCUGAGACUCAGCGAAGUUGAAGUGUUUGUGAUGAUGCAAUCUCCCCGCGGCUAGACGGAAAGACCCCAUGAACCUUUACUGUAGCUUUGCAUUGGACUUUGAA